rnacentral:rRNA from 1 species
GUGCCAGCCGCCGCGGUAAUACGGAGGAUGCAAGCGUUAUCCGGAAUGAUUGGGCGUAAAGCGUCCGCAGGUGGCUGUGUAAGUCUGCUGUUAAAGCGUCUGGCUUAACCAGAUACAAGCAGUGGAAACUACACAGCUAGAGUGCGUUCGGGGCAGAGGGAAUUCCUGGUGUAGCGGUGAAAUGCGUAGAUAUCAGGAAGAACACCGGUGGCGAAAGCGCUCUGCUAGGCCGCAACUGACACUGAGGGACGAAAGCUAGGGGAGCGAAUGGGAUUAGAUACCCCAGUAGUCCUAGCCGUAAACGAUGGAUACUAGGCGUGGCUUGUAUCGACCCGAGCCGUGCCGUAGCUAACGCGUUAAGUAUCCCGCCUGGGGAGUACGCACGCAAGUGUGAAACUCAAAGGAAUUGACGGGG